GCCCACGUGGUGAAAUUGGUAGACACGCCAUCUUGAGGGGGUGGUUCCGUAAGGUAUGCUGGUUCGAGUCCAGUCGUGGGCA
rnacentral:tRNA from 1 species